GACGAACGCUGGCGGCGUGCCUAAUACAUGCAAGUAGAACGCUGAAGGAGGAGCUUGCUUCUCCGGAUGAGUUGCGAACGGGUGAGUAACGCGUAGGUAACCUGCCUGGUAGCGGGGGAUAACUAUUGGAAACGAUAGCUAAUACCGCAUAACAGUAGAUGUUGCAUGACAUUUGCUUAAAAGGUGCAAUUGCAUCACUACCAGAUGGACCUGCGUUGUAUUAGCUAGUUGGUGAGGUAACGGCUCACCAAGGCGACGAUACAUAGCCGACCUGAGAGGGUGAUCGGCCACACUGGGACUGAGACACGGCCCAGACUCCUACGGGAGGCAGCAGUAGGGAAUCUUCGGCAAUGGACGGAAGUCUGACCGAGCAACGCCGCGUGAAUGAAGAAGGUUUUCGGAUCGUAAAGCUCUGUUGUAAGAGAAGAACGAGUGUGAGAGUGGAAAGUUCACACUGUGACGGUAUCUUACCAGAAAGGGACGGCUAACUACGUG
rnacentral:rRNA from 1 species